GUCGCACGCUUUGCGUAGAUGAGGGAUGACGCAGGCACAGGCCUGAGCGUCGCACGCUUUGCGUAGAUGAGGGAUGGCGCCGGCGCAGGCCUGCGCGCCACGCGCUUUAGGUGGAUGAGGGAUGGCGCAGGUGCAGGCCUGCGCGCCUCACGCUUUAUGUACAUGAGGGAUGAGGCAGCACAGGAAUUGGCACAACCUGAAGUCAGCUCUGCAGCUUUCCAAGCUUCGUUCUGCGUGUCCUGUACUCAACAGUCAUCUCAUGCUGCAGGGUGGCUGCGUGUGCUCCGUACAUCACACCCAUAUUUCAGGGAGAAGACUGCACAUAUAACACAGCUCUGCAUGGAAAACCUUCCGCCUGGAGGGGUGGCUUCCUAGAGGUGUGGCGUUGCCCUCUGUCUUGAACAGGCUGUGAGCCGUUUUGUCAUUUGGGGUUUCUAGAUGCAAACAGCAGAAGCUGCUGGCCAAUUACCAAAGGGAACGUGCUGUUAGGAUAUCAGGGCCUGGGAGCUGCAGCAAUGUGGGCUGACAGCAGAGAGCUAAGGCACUUUCCGAGGUGACGAGCUGGGCUGCUAUGCUGGAGACGGCUGGGCAGAAGCAGUUAGCAGGGCAUUUCCUUGUGUCCUUAUCUCAAGAGUCACAGUUUCAGGAGUGAGCAUCUCAGAGGUCAGGGUUCAUUCACAUGCCACCUCCCUUCUCACUGUGUCAUUGGGGAGGGGCCGUCUGGACCCUCUGGCUCCUGUGGCAAGAAAUGGUCCCAUCAAGUCAUCCAAGGGCCUGGAAGCCUCCCAAGGAAAGCAGGAGGGCUGGGUGCUGAGCAGCGUCCAGCAGCAAAGGUAGGCUCCAGCCCCGCAGGUGUGGCUGCGCCAUCCCAGGGAACGUGCCCCAGCAAGUGCUGGUGCUGCUCUCACUACAGGUGGGGUUGGUUUCACUGGACAGGUGGCACUUCCUCACCUCUUGCCCUCUGGACCCACGGCAGGCACUUUCCAGGGCACAUCACGUGGGUGUGCGGUCUGGCUGCUGGGUCCACGCGGGUUCUCAAUCAUGACCUGGCUUGCAAGCUCUUUCCACAGUUGGAUAAAUGAAGCCGUUGGGGAAGUAUCCGCAAACUCUUACAGUGAGUAUGUGAUAAUGACACACGCGUGGCCCUUCUAAGACCUCCGCUAGGCAUUAUCAGUGACUGUGCUCGUGAGCGCUGACCUCCGCUAGGCGUUAUCAGGGACUGUGCUCGUGAGCGCCGACCUCCGCUAGGCGUUAUCAGGGACUGUGCUCGUGAGCGCGGACCUCCGCUAGGCGAUAUCAGGGACUGUGCUCAUGAGGGCGGACUUUCACCAGCCACGCUUCCGAGGAGUGGAGUCUUUCUCAGCUCUGCCUCUCCAAGAUGACCAUCUUGUGAAGACGAUGCGUUCUUUAUACACAAGUUCUGUGUGUGUGUGUGUGUGUUCCACACACAGGACCAAAGUUGAGAUAGGCGCACAUUUUCUUGGUCCCACUUGUGGCCCCAGUCGGCUGUCAGAAGUGGGUGUGCUCCACAUGUACCCACCAUGUCAGGGCACAGUGCUCACAUUUCACACCUCAGCAGGUGCCUUGAUGUUGACCAGAGGCCCCAAAAUCAUCUCUUUCUAUGACUUCUAGAUCUUAGAUUCCCAGGAACUGGGAAAUGCAGUCAGUAUCUUUUGGGUCCAAGAAACUUUGUCAGAGCCCUUGUGGGAGAACCAUAGAUUCUCACCAGAUAAACAGAAGAGCUUCGUGUUAGAGAAACCCGCCUGUCUCCCCACAUUCUCAGUUUUCUGGAGAGCAGCUGAAAGCCAUCUGGGUGGAGAUUAAGAGCUCCAACCGUGUAGCUUUGAUGUAUCGGGCAAGUUGCUUAAGCUCUUUAAUGCUGUUUCCUCAUUUAUUGUGUGAGGCCAAAAAUACCCAUUCCUUAAAGUUGUGAGGAUUAAAAACAGUAAUGAAAAGUGAGUGGCAAGUGCCGAGUACACAGUCAAGUACCUGAUACUUUUUAGUGUAAGGUAAGUAGCAAGAAAGCAUGAAAUUUAUUUUCAUUUACUCUUACUACAUGUGGUAAACCAUCUAUGCACAGAGCACUGCAUUGGGUGCCAUGAAUGACAGAAUAAGAGUACCAGGUGCAUGAAAAGCUUAAAAGACAAAUGAGACAGAGCUAGGCUGCAGAAGACUUAAAAAGUUGAUGUAUUUAACUUUUAAUGGACACACUGUACAUGUUUAUGGGGUACGAUUUGUUGUUUCCAUGCAUAUCUGUGUUGUGUAAUGAUCCAAUCAGGGUAGUGUGUGUGCCCAUUUCCUCAAGGGUGGAUCAUUAUGUGUAUCAUCGUGCAUCAUCAUGUAUCAUGCAUGUACCAUCAUCAUGCAUCAUUGUGCAUCAUCAUGCCUGUAUCAUUAUGUAUCACCUCAUGCAUAUAUUAUAAUGUAUCACCUC